rnacentral:rRNA from 1 species
CCUACGGGGGACAGCAGUGGGGAAUAUUGCACAAUGGGGGAAACCCUGAUGCAGCGACGCCGCGUGAGUGAAGAAGUAUCUCGGUACGUAAAGCUCUAUCAGCAGGGAAGAAAAUGACGGUACCUGACUAAGAAGCCCCGGCUAACUACGUGCCAGGAGCCGCGGGAUUACGUAGGGGGCAAGCGUUAUCCGGUUUUACUGGGGGGAAAGGGAGCGUAGACGGCAGCACAAGUCUGGAGUGAAAUCCCGGGGCUUAACCCCGGAACUGCUUUGGAAACUGGGCGGCUGGAGUGCAGGAGGGGUAAGCGGAAUUCCUAGUGUAGCGGUGAAAUGCGUAGAUAUUAGGAGGAACACCGGUGGCGAAGGCGGCUUACUGGACUGUAACUGACGUUGAGGCUCGAAAGCGUGGGGAGCAAACAGGAUUAGAUACCCCUGUAGUC